UACAGAGGUCCCAAGCGUUGUUCGGAUUCAUUGGGCGUAAAGGGUGCGUAGGCGGCGCGGUAAGUCGGGUGUGAAAUCUCGGAGCUUAACUCCGAAACUGCAUUCGAUACUGCCGUGCUUGAGGACUGGAGAGGAGACUGGAAUUUACGGUGUAGCGGUGAAAUGCGUAGAUAUCGUGAGGAAGACCAGUGGCGAAGGCGGGUCUCUGGACAGUUCCUGACGCUGAGGCGCGAAGGCCAGGGGAGCAAACGGG
rnacentral:rRNA from 1 species